CCUACGGGAGGCAGCAAUGGGGAAUCUUGCACAAUGGGGGAAACCCUUAUGCAGCAACGCCGCGUGAGUGAAGACGUAUUUCGGUAUGUACAGCUCUAUCAGCCGGGAAGACGAAAGACGGUACCUGACUAAGAAGCGCCGGCUAACUACGUGCCAGCAGCCGCGGUAAUACUUAGGGGGCAAGCGUUAUCCGGAUUUACUGGUGGUAAAGGGAGCGUAGACGGAUGUGCAAGUCUGAAGUGAAAGCCCGUGGCUCAACCGCGGAACUGCUUUGGAAUCUGUAUAGCUUGAGUACUGGAGAGGCAGGCGGAAUUCCUAGUGUAGCGGUGAAAUGCGUAGAUAUUAGGAGGAACACCAGUGGCGAAGGCGGCCUGCUGGACAGAAACUGACGUUGAGGCGCGAAAGCGUGGGGAGCAAACAGGAUUAGAUACCCUUGUAGUC
rnacentral:rRNA from 1 species